rnacentral:rRNA from 1 species
GACGAACGCUGGCGGCGUGCUUAACACAUGCCAGUCGAACGGAAAGGCCCUGCUUUUGUGGGGUGCUCGAGUGGCGAACGGGUGAGUAACACGUGAGUAACCUGCCCUUGACUUUGGGAUAACUUCAGGAAACUGGGGCUAAUACCGGAUAGGAGCUCCUGCUGCAUGGUGGGGGUUGGAAAGUUUCGGCGGUUGGGGCUGGACUCGCGGCUUAUCAGCUUGUUGGUGGGGUAGUGGCUUACCAAGGCUUUGACGGGUAGCCGGCAUGAGAGGGUGACCGGCCACAUUGGGACUGAGAUACGGCGCAGACUCCUACGGGAGGCAGCAGUGGGGAAUAUUGCACAGUGGGCGGAAGCCUGAUGCAGCAACGCCGCGUGCGGGAUGACGGCCUUCGGGUUGUAAACCGCUUUCGCCUGUGACGAAGCGGGAGUGACGGUAAUGGGUAAAGAAGCACCGGCUAACUACGUG